rnacentral:misc_RNA from 1 species
AACGCACAUUGCGCCCCUUGGCAUUCCGAGGGGCAUGCCUGUUCGAGCGUCAUUACAACCCCUCAAGCUCUGCUUGGUGUUGGGCAUCGCCAGUCUUGGUGUGCCUUAAAAUCAGUGGCGGUGCCAUCUGGCCCUCAGCAUAGUAGUAUUUCUCUUGCUAUAGGGACCUGGUAGGUGCCUGCCAUCUCAACCCCCUAGUUAUUAUCAAGGUUGACCUCGGAUCAGGUAGGGAUACCCGCUGAACUUAA